CUUUACGGCCAUGCUACCCUGAACAAGCCCGAUUCCAUCUGAUCUCAGAAGCUAAACUGAGUCAGGCCUGGUUAGUACUUGGAUGGGAGACCACCUAGGAAGACCAGGUGCUGUAGGCG
rnacentral:rRNA from 1 species